UGGGGAAUAUUGCACAAUGGGCGGAAGCCUGAUGCAGCGACGCCGCGUGAGGGAUGACGGCCUUCGGGUUGUAAACCUCUUUCAGCAGGGACGCGGUACCUGCAGAAGAAGCGCCGGCCAACUACGUGCCAGCAGCCGCGGUAAGACGUAGGGCGCGAGCGUUGUCCGGAUUUAUUGGGCGUAAAGAGCUCGUAGGCGGCUUGUCGCGUCGACUGUGAAAACCCACAGCUCAACUGUGGGCUUGCAGUCGAUACGGGCAGGCUAGAGUUCGGUAGGGGAGACUGGAAUUCCUGGUGUAGCGGUGAAAUGCGCAGAUAUCAGGAGGAACACCGGUGGCGAAGGCGGGUCUCUGGGCCGAUACUGACGCUGAGGAGCGAAAGCGUGGGGAGCGAACAGGAUUAGAUACCCUGGUAGUCCUGAGACUACCAAGGCACACA
rnacentral:rRNA from 1 species